UCUCUGUUAGUAUAUCGGUUAGUACACGCGCCUGUCAUGUGUUCGUUCACUGAUUGCACCGGCCGCGCGAAAGCUGGGUUCGACUCCCAGACAGAGAG
rnacentral:tRNA from 1 species